rnacentral:piRNA from 1 species
UCCGAGUGCAGUGAGAGCCUCCCCUGCCCC